rnacentral:rRNA from 2 species
GACGAGGCACUACGGUGCUGAAGCAACAAAUGCCCUGCUUCCAGGAAAAGCCUCUAAGCAUCAGGUAACAUCAAAUCGUACCCCAAACCGACACAGGUGGUCAGGUAGAGAAUACCAAGGCGCUUGAGAGAACUCGGGUGAAGGAACUAGGCAAAAUGGUGCCGUAACUUCGGGAGAAGGCACGCUGACACGUAGGUGAAGUGAUUUACUCAUGGAGCUGAAGUCAGUCGAAGAUACCAGCUGGCUGCAACUGUUUAUUAAAAACACAGCACUGUGCAAACACGAAAGUGGACGUAUACGGUGUGACGCCUGCCCGGUGCCGGAAGGUUAAUUGAUGGGGUCAGCGCAAGCGAAGCUCCUGAUCGAAGCCCCGGUAAACGGCGGCCGUAACUAUAACGGUCCUAAGGUAGCGAAAUUCCUUGUCGGGUAAGUUCCGACCUGCACGAAUGGCGUAAUGAUGGCCAGGCUGUCUCCACCCGAGACUCAGUGAAAUUGAACUCGCUGUGAAGAUGCAGUGUACCCGCGGCAAGACGGAAAGACCCCGUGAACCUUUACUAUAGCUUGACACUGAACAUUGAGCCUUGAUGUGUAGGAUAGGUGGGAGGCUUUGAAGUGUGGACGCCAGUCUGCAUGGAGCCGACCUUGAAAUACCACCCUUUAAUGUUUGAUGUUCUAACGUGGACCCGUAAUCCGGGUUGCGGACAGUGUCUGGUGGGUAGUUUGACUGGGGCGGUCUCCUCCUAAAGAGUAACGGAGGAGCACGAAGGUUGGCUAAUCCUGGUCGGACAUCAGGAGGUUAGUGCAAUGGCAUAAGCCAGCUUGACUGCGAGCGUGACGGCGCGAGCAGGUGCGAAAGCAGGUCAUAGUGAUCCGGUGGUUCUGAAUGGAAGGGCCAUCGCUCAACGGAUAAAAGGUACUCCGGGGAUAACAGGCUGAUACCGCCCAAGAGUUCAUAUCGACGGCGGUGUUUGGCACCUCGAUGUCGGCUCAUCACAUCCUGGGGCUGAAGUAGGUCCCAAGGGUAUGGCUGUUCGCCAUUUAAAGUGGUACGCGAGCUGGGUUUAGAACGUCGUGAGACAGUUCGGUCCCUAUCUGCCGUGGGCGCUGGAGAACUGAGGGGGGCUGCUCCUAGUACGAGAGGACCGGAGUGGACGCAUCACUGGUGUUCGGGUUGUCAUGCCAAUGGCACUGCCCGGUAGCUAAAUGCGGAAGAGAUAAGUGCUGAAAGCAUCUAAGCACGAAACUUGCCCCGAGAUGAGUUCUCCCUGAGACUUAGAGUCUCCUGAAGGAACGUUGAAGACGACGACGUUGAUAGGCCGGGUGUGUAAGCGCAGCGAUGCGUUGAGCUAACCGGUACUAAUGAACCGUGAGGCUUAACCUUAC